CCGCCACAUGAAGAAGGAUGUUUUUGCUUCCCCUUCUGCCAUGACUGUAUAAGUUUCCUGAUGCCUCCCCAGCCAUACUUAAUUAGUCUUGCUCUGUUGCCAAGACGAGUGCAGUGGUGCAAUCACAGCUCACUGCAGCCUUGACCUCCUCACUUUCAGAAUCCAGACAUGAUGGUGAGAUAUCAUGGACAACGGCAGCAUGCCAGGGUUGGCUGAGCCAGGAGAUGGAAGGAGCUUGAAUCCCUGCAGCCAGCACAGGACACCUGAACUGCCUGCCUCAGUCUAUUGGAUUUCUCUGUUGAACAAUGUUAGCACUUCACUAAAGACUGCUGCCUGGAUGUGAGGGCGAUCUGGCUGCAACAUGUUACCCCACUGAUCGCCAGGGUUGAUUCAGCUGACCUGGCUGGCUAGGUGGGUGUCCCCUUCCUCCCUCACUACUCCAUGUGCAACCUCCUGAAGCUGUGCACUCCGUUAAAGAGGACAACCAUCCCCGAUAGACAAGGACCAGUCUUCGGUCAAGGGCAUACAAGUAGCUGUGCUCCCCUGCUAGACCCUCCCAACAAGCUCUCAAGACUGCUGUCUGCCAAUCUGUAUCCAGAGUUGGAAAAAAGAAAGAAAAAAAAGAACUUGUCCCAGAGUGUUCCUUACUGAGUUAUAAAUUAGUUGUAAUUUGGAAAGGGAACAUUCUGUGGUAGAUAGUGAUUGAAAAUUCAAAGAUCAAAAUAUUAAAGGAUGUAUAUUCUGAGAAAACUUGCAUUCACAUUGUAGUUUUACUUUUGUUUUUGUUUGUUUUGAGACAGGAUCUUGCUCUGUCGCCCAGGCUGGAGUGCAGCGGUGCGAUCUUGGCUCACUGCAGCCUUGACCUCGUGUGCUCAAGCAAUUCUCCCAUCUCAGCUGGGACCACAGGUGCACGAAACCAUGCCCCAGUAAUUUUUAAUUUUUUGUAGAGAUGAGUGUCUCACUGUGUCACACAGGUUGGUCUUGAACUCCUGAGAUCAAGCGAUCCUCCCAUCUCAGCUGCACAAAUUACUGGGAUUACACGCCUGGCCCAGAACAAAUUUUAAAAAAAGUUAUGUGUGUUUUUCAAUAUCUCAUGACGCAACACUACAGAACAACAUAUAUAUAUAUGUAUAUAUAUAUAAAUCUAUCUCCCUAUAAAAGCCAAACAAGACAAGCCUGGGCCACAUGUGGCUCAUGAUCUGUCAGCUGGAGGUGUCUUCUUUUUUUUUUUUUUUUGGAGACAGAGUCUUGCUCUGUCACCCAGGCUAGAGUGCAGUGGCGUGAUCUCGGCUCACUGCAACCUCCACCUCCCAGGUUCAAGUGAUUCCCCUGCCUCAGCUUCCUGAGUAGCUGGGAUUACAGGUACUCGCCACCUUGCCUGGCUAAUUUUUGUAUUUUUAUGUUUUAAUAUUUUAUUUAUUUAUUUAUUUAUUUUGAGAUGGAGUCUCACACUGCCGCCCAGGCUGGAGUGCAGUGGUACGACCUUGUCUCACUGCAACCUCCACCUCCUGGGUUCAAGCGAUUCUCCUGCCUCAGCCUUCUGAGUAGCUGGGACUACAGGUGUGUGCCACCACGCUUGGCUAACUUUUUGUAUUUUUGAGACGGGGUUUCACCGUGUUAGCUAGGAUGGUCUUGAUCUCCUGACCUCAUGAUCCACCCACCUUGGCCUCCCAAAGUGCUGGGAUUACAGGCGUGAGCUACCAUGCCUGGCCAAUUUUGGUAUUUUUAGUAGAGACGGGGUUUCACCAUCUUGGCCAGGCUCGAACUCCUGACCUCGUGAUCCAGCUGCCUCGGCCUCCCAAAGUACUGGGAUUAAGGCAUGAGCCACCGCACCCGGCCUGUUGGCGGUAUCUUCUAAGCACAACUGGGGGCGGUCAUGGCAUUCAAGACCAGCCUGGGCAACGUGAUGAAACCCCUUCUCUACAAAAAAUACAAAAAUUAUCUGGGUGUGGUGGCAGGUGCCUGUAAUCCCAGCUACUUGGGAGGCUGAGGCAGGAGAAUCGUUUGAACCUGGGAGGUGGAGGUUGCACUCCAGCCUGGGCAACAGAGCAAGACUCCGUCUCAAAAAAAAUAAAUAAAUAAAAUAAAUAAACAUAAUUGAACAAGCUCCCUUGGAAGUUCCCUGAAGUGGCUGUAGAGGGACCCUCCUUAUCUUGGCCUUUGGUGGUGAGAGCUGGGGAGCCUGUACUCAGAUGGCCUUAAAUCAGGGUGUCUCUCCGACCUAUGUGCUAUUAACAUGUUGGGACAGCUGAUUCUUAAUCGUUGAGAGGCUCUCCUGCAUGUCCUAGGAUACUUAGUGGCAUUUCUGGCCUCUAUCCACUAGGUGUCAGAAGGAUCCCCCUAGCUGCCAUAACCAAAAAUAUCUCCCGACAUUCCCAAAUGUCCUCUGGGUGGGGAGAAGGGAACAAAACCCACCUAACUGAAUGAAGCAUUUUAACCAAUUAACAGACCUGCCCGCGGAGCCUGCAGCCAGUUCAGGAAAAGGCCUCCUGUGGAACCAGACUCACCCGGCUGCAGGGAGAUCCACAUGGGUCUCCUCUUCAUUUCGGUGCCACCAGAGAGGAUUAAGAUGAAUAGCAGAUGGUUGGGUGCAGUGGCUUACUGGGAGGCUGAGGAGGGUGGAUCACCUGAGGUCUGGAAUUCGAGACCAGCCUGGCCAACAUGGUGAAACCCCAUCUCUAGUAAAAAUAUAAAAUUAGCCGGGCAUGGUGGCACAUGACUGUAAUCCCAGCUACUCGGGAGGCUGAGGCACGAAAAUUGCGUGAACCUAGGAGGCAGAGGUUGCAGUGAGCCAAGAUCACUGGGCUGCAGGUGGCACUCCAGCCUGGGCAACAAGAGCAAAACUCCAUCUCAAAAAAAAAAAAAAAAAAAAAAAAAAAGCCUGGGCGCAAUGGCUCAUGCCUGUAAUCCCAGCACUUUGGAAGGCUAAGGCGGGUGGAUCAUGAGGUCAGGAGAUCAAGACCAUCCUGGCUAACAUGGUGAAACUCCAUGUCUACUGAAAAUACAAAAAAAUUAGCCGGGCGUAGUGGCAGGCACCUGUAGUCCCAGCUACUCGGGAGGCUGAGGCAGAAGAAUGGCGUGAACCCAGGAGCUGGAGCUUGCAGUGAGCUGAGAUCACGCCACUGUGCUCCAGCCUGGGCAACAGAGCAAGACUCUGUCUCAAAAAAAAAAAAGAAAGGAAGAAUAGCAGAACACUAGCCCUGGAGGAAAGGAAUGAAUAAGAUAAUGCACCACGAACCAAGAAGAGGCUUCCAGGAAGAUGCUGCAAUUGGAGAACAAGACAAAGUUCUGGAAGUCACAAAUACGACGGACCAAAUUUAAAAAUCCAUCACAGCCUGGGAAACAUGGCAAAACCCCAUCUCUACAAAAAAUAAAAUAAUUAGCCGGGCAUGGUGGAGUGCAUCUGUACUCCCAGCUACUCAGGAGGCUGAGGUAGGAGGAUCACUUGAGCCCAGGAGGUUGAGUCUGCAGUGAGCUGAGAUUGCACCACUGCACUCCAGCCUGGGUGACAGAGUGAGACCAUGUCUCAAAAAUUAAUUAAUUAAUUAAGUUAAAUAAAAAAUUAAUCAAAGGAAGGUACGGGUGGAAAAGUUUUGAAACACCUCUCAGGAUGUAGAGCAAAAUGCCAACAAAAAAGAAAGAAAAGAAAGGAAAAUAUGAAAGAAAAGAGAUGGAGAAUCAAUUCAAUCCAUAUUUGUUUAACAGAAGUUCCAGAAAGAGAGAACAUAGCUGGACGUGAUGGUAUGGGCCUGUGGUCCCAGCUGCUCGUGAGGCUGGGGCAGGAGGAUUGUUUGAGCCCGGGAGGUUGAGGCUACAGUGAGCCGUGAUGGCACCACUGCACUCCAUCCUGGGCAACACAGCAUGACCUUGUCUCAAAAAACAAAAACAAAGAAAAAACUCAGAAAGAGAGAACAGAGAAAAUGAAGGGGUGGGAACAACAAAAGAAGAUUCCAUUUGAUUGAGAGAUAUUUCAAGCAGAGGAGUCUCUGCAAGUGGUCCUCACCUCAGCGUCCCCUGGAAUCACCUGAGGAGCUUUGAAACCACUGAUCCCGAGAUUCCUGCUUCCAGCCAAGAUGGAGUCACGUGGGCUGGGUCCGCCCUCCUGUCUGAAACAAUCACCACCACCACAGUGACAAAAACAGACCCAAUACAUGGAACAACAGUGUUCAAAACGCUGAACAUCAAGCAAUGAGAGAAAGUAACAAAAGCAAUGAAAUCCCAGAGAGAAAGGACAUCAACAGUCCUUUUAGGACUGUGCAGUUUACUGCUUCGAGAGCGUUUCCAAAGUGUGGGGCAGGGCAAGGGGGAUGUGGGUUGUUGCAGCCCAGAGGAUUCGCAGAGUUGAGGAAAUGGAGUGGCUGAGUCCGAGGAGACCACAGCAGCUAGAGCUUAGAUAAUGGAACACCUACAAGACAGAGGUGCACAGAGAGAGUACCCCAGAGGACUUCAGAGGAUUCAGCAAAGAACUAAUCAGCACAUGUGUGUGAAGAAACUCUCCAAGGCCAGGGAAAGAACCAGCUGAAAGGAUUCGAGGAAACAACGCCCAAGAUUCACACGAGGUAGGGCCAGGACCUCUUCCCACUGGCCAGCUGGAAAAACUGAUCAUUCGCUAGGCAUGGGGUAGAGUGCUCAGGAAGAUCUUGUCUCAGUAAUGGGGAAUAAUUAAACCUAGACUUCCGGUGCAGUGGCUCAUGCCUGUAAUCCCAGCACUGUGGGAGGCUGAGAUGGGUGGAUCACUUGAGGUCAGGACUUUGAGACCAGCCCAGGCAACACAGCAAGACCACAUCUCUUAAAAAGGCCGGGCAGGCACGGUGGCUCACACCUGUAAUCGCACUGUGGGAGGCCAAGGUGGGCAGAUCACUUGAGGCCAGGAGUUCAAGAGCAGCCUGGCCAACAGGGUGUAACCCACUCUCUACUAAAAAUACAAAAAUUAGCCAGGCAUGGUGGCGUGUGCCUCUAGUCCCAGCUACUCAGGAGGCUGAGGCAGGAGAAUCAGUUGAACUCCAGAGGCAGAGGCUGCAGUGCACCAAAAUGGCACAACUGCCCUCCAGCCUGGGCAACGGUGAGACUCUAUCUAAAAAAAAAAAAAAAAAAAAAAAAAUUAAGCCUACACUGAGCAUUAAUCUGGACCUGUCUAACAAAUCAUAAAGAUUACACAAAUAUUUGGUGUUCUACAAGGUAAAAUUUACAAUGUCUGAUAAGCAAUCAAGGAUUACCAAGCAUAAGGAAAAAAUUAACAGAAUGAAGUAAUAACUUACAGAUUGGGAGAAAACAUUUGUAAGCAAUACAUCCAAUAAGGUGUUAAUACCCAAAAUAUAUAAGAAACUCAAAAAACUCAGAGUGAAAAAAACAAAUAAGCUGAUUUAAAAUGGGCAAAGGACCUGAACAGAUAUUAAAAAAAAAAAAGACACAGAAAUGACCAACAAAUAUAUGAAAAAAUGUUCAACAGCACUAACCACCAGGAAAACGCAAAUUAAAAGCACGAUGAGAUAUCACCUGUUGGUGCUGGUGUUGGUGAAGAUAUGGAGAAAAGGGAACCCUUACCCACCGUUCGUGGGAAUGUAAAUUAUUACAGUCAUUCUGGAAAAUUAUAUGGAAGUUCCUCAAAAUAUAGGCUGGGCGUGGUGGCUUGCAUCUGUAAUCCCAGCACUUUUGGGAGGCUGAAGUGGACAGAUCACUUGAGCCCAGGAGUUUGAGACCAGCCUGGACAUCAUGGUAAAACCCCCGUCUCUGCAAAAAAUACAAAAAUUAGCCAGGCAUGGUGGCAUGCACCAUAGUUCCAGCUACUAGGGAGGCUGAGGUGGAAGGAUUGCAUGAGCAGGGAAGAGGUGGAGGUUUGCAGUGAGCCAAGAUAGUGCCACUGCACUCCAGCCUGGGUGAUAGAGCCAGACUCAUUUAAAACAACAACAACAACAACAACAAAACGAAAAAACUAAAAGUAGACUUACCAAAUGAUCCAGCAAUCCCACUUCUGGGUGUAUAUCCAAAGGAACUGAAAAAUCAGUGUGUCAGAGAUAUCUGCAUUUCCAGGUUCACUGCAGUGUUAUUUACAACAGGCAAAUCAUGACAUCAACCUAAGCAUCCAUCAGCAGAUGAAAGGAUAAAGAAAAUGUGGCCAGGCGCUGUGGCUCACGCCUGUAAUCCCAACACUUUGGGAGACCAAAGCAGGCAGAUUACUUGAGGUAAGGAGUUUGAGAGCAGCCUGACCAACAUGGUGAAACCCCCAUCUCUACUAAAAAUACAAAAAUUAGCUGGGCAUGGUGGCAGGCGUCUGUAAUCCCAGUUACUUGGGAGGCUGAGGCAAGAGAAUCGCUUGAAGCUGAGAGGCAGAGGCUGCAGUGAGCCGAGAUUGCACCACAGCAUUCCAGCCUGGCUGACAGAGUGAGACUCCAUCUCAAAAACAAAAAACAAACAAACAAAAAACAGGCUGGACGUGGUGGCUCACGUGUAUAAUCCCAGCACUUUGGGAGGCUGAGGCGGGCAGAUCACCUGAGGCCAGGAGUUUGAGACCAGUCUGGCCAACAGGGUGAAACUCUGUCUCUAAUAAAAAUACAAAAAUUAGCCGGGCAUGGUACGGUGCACUCCUGUAAUUCCAGCUACUUGGGAGGCUGAGGCACGAGAAUUGGUUGAACCCAGAGGGGCGGAGGUUGCAGUGAGCCAAGACCAAGUCACUGCACUCCAGCCUGGGUGACAGAGCAAGACUCUGUCUCAAAAAAAAAAAAAAAAAAAAAAAAAAGAGAUGAAAAGACAGAAAAGAUAAAGAAAAUGUGUAUAUAUACACAUUUGAAUAGAAUACCAUUCAACUUUAAAAAGAAGCAAGAAGCAAAUCCUGUGAUUUGCAACUACAUGGAUGAAGCUGGAGGACAUUAUGCUGAGUGAAAUGAACUAGGCCCAGAAAGACAAAUACCGCAUUCUGGCAUGUUCUCACUUAAAUGUGUAAUCUGAAAUAAUUGAACUAAUAGAAGCAGAGAGUAGAAUGGUAGUUAGCAGAAACUGGAGGUGGGGAGGAAACGGAGUGACUUUGGUCAAAGAGUACAAAGUUGCAGCUAGACAGGAAAAAAUGAUGAGUAUUUAAGAUGAUAAACGUGUUAAUUAGCUUGAUUCAAUUACUCUAUGCUGUAUCUAUAUAUCAUAACAGCAUGGUGUACCCCAUAAUUGUACAUGAUUAAAAUUUAUAGAAUGCUUUUUAAAAAUUGGAAUAUGAAGAUGAACUUCAAUGGCAAAAAAAUUCUUUUUAACCCAGAAGAUGAGAUUGGUUUAAAAGCUCCCCACUUUUAAGAAAAGAUUACCAGGCAGGCAAAGAGGCAGAAAACAUGACCAUAUUAAGAAGAAUAAUCAGUUAAUGGAAACCAACCUAGAACUGACACAAAUGUUACAAUGAGCAGAAAACAUUAAAAUAGUUACUAUAACUGAAUGCCAUAUGUUAAAAAAUUAAGUAGCGAUAAGGAGAUACAAAACAAAGGCCCAAGUCAAGCAUCUAAAAGAUUACAAUGUCAGAGAUGAAAAGUACAAUAAAUAGGGUUGAUAGUAGAUUAGAUAUUGCAGAAGGAAGCCUUAGUGAAGUUGAAAUCAUAGCAAAAGAAAUCCAAAAUGAAACGCAGAGAAAAAACAAUUUUUUUUUUUGAGACAGGGUCUCACUCUGGCUGGGGUGCAGUGGCACCAUCUCGGCUCACUGCAGCCUUGACCUCCUGGGCUCAAGUGAUCCUCACAGAAAAAAAAACAAUUUUUUUUUAAGACGGAGUGUCACUCUUGUCUCCCAGGCUGGAGUGCACUGGCGCAAGGUCUCGGCUCACUGCAAUCUCUGACUCCUGGGUUCAAGCGAUUCUCCUGGCCCAGCCUCUCAAGUAGCUGGGAUUAUAGGCAUGUGCCACCACACUCGGCUAAUUUUUGUAUUUUUAGUAGAGACAGGGUUUCACCAUGUUGGCCAGGCUGGUCUUGAACACCUGACCUCAAAUGAUCCACCCACCUCAGCCCCCCGAAGUGCUGGGAUUAUAGGCGUGAGCCACAGGGCCAGGCAGAAAAAACAAUUUUAAGAAUGAAAAACAUGGCUGGGCACAGUAGCUCACACCUGUAAUCCCAACAUUUUGGGAGGUCAAGGCAUGAAGAUCACUUGAGGCCAGGAGUUUGAGACCAACCUGGGCAACAUAGCUAGACUCCAUAUCUACAAAAAAGAAAAAAUUAGCCAGGUGUGAUGGUGUGCACCCGUAGUCCCAGCUACUUAGGAGGCUGAGAUGGGAGGAUUUCUUGAGCCUAGGAGGUGAAGGUUGCAGUGAGUUAUGAUUGUGCCACGGCACUGCAGCCUGGGUGAGAGUGAGACCCUGUCUGGAAAGUAAAAAGAAAACCACAUCAGUGAGCUGUGGAAUAACUUUAUGCAGGCUAAUAUGUGAGUAAUUGGAGUUGAAGGAAAGGAGAGAUAGAGGGGCACAGAAAAAAUACCUUAAGGACUAAUAGCUUAACAGUUUCCAAAUUUGAUGAAAAUCAUAAAUCUACACAUCCAAGAAGCUCAACAAUUCUCUAACACAAGAAACUACACCAAAGCACAUCAUAAUCAAAUUGCUCAAAGCCACUGAUAAAGUGAAAAUCUUAAAGUAGCCAGCAUCUAGGUGCGGUGGCUCAUCCUUGUAAUCCCAGCGCUCUGGGAGGCCAAGAUAAGAGGAGUUCAAGACCAGCCUGGGCCACAUAGCAAGACCCUUGUCUCUUCUUUUCUUUUUUUUUUUUUUUUUGGAGACGGAGUCUCACUUUGUCGCCCAGGCUGGAGUACAGUGGUGCAAUCUCGGCUCACUGCUGGCUCGGCCUCCCAGGUUCACGCCAUUCUCCUGCCUCAGCCUCCCCAGUAGCGGGGACUACAGGUGCCU
rnacentral:lncRNA from 10 species